UGGGGGAUAUUGCACAAUGGGGGAAACCCUGAUGCAGCGACGCCGCGUGGAGGAAGAAGGUUUUCGGAUUGUAAACUCCUGUCGUUAGGGACGAUAAUGACGGUACCUAACAAGAAAGCACCGGCUAACUACGUGCCAGCAGCCGCGGUAAAACGUAGGGUGCAAGCGUUGUCCGGAAUUACUGGGUGUAAAGGGAGCGCAGGCGGGAAGACAAGUUGGAAGUGAAAACCAUGGGCUCAACCCAUGAAUUGCUUUCAAAACUGUUUUUCUUGAGUAGUGCAGAGGUAGAUGGAAUUCCCGGUGUAGCGGUGGAAUGCGUAGAUAUCGGGAGGAACACCAGUGGCGAAGGCGACCUACUGGGCACCAACUGACGCUGAGGCUCGAAAGCAUGGGUAGCAAACAGGAUUAGAUACCCUGGUAGUCCAUGCCGUAAACGAUGAUUACUAGGUGUUGGGGGAUUGACCCCCUCAGUGCCGCAGUUAACACAAUAAGUAAUCCACCUGGGGAGUACGACCGCAAGGUUGAAACUCAAAGGAAUUGACGGGGGCCCGCACAAGCAGUGGAGUAUGUGGUUUAAUUCGAAGCAACGCGAAGAACCUUACCAGGUCUUGACAUCCGAUGCAUAGCACAGAGAUGUGUGAAAUCCUUCGGGACAUCGAGACAGGUGGUGCAUGGUUGUCGUCAGCUCGUGUCGUGAGAUGUUGGGUUAAGUCCCGCAACGAGCGCAACCCUUAUUGCCAGUUACUACGUUAAGAGGACUCUGGCGAGACUGCCGUUGACAAAACGGAGGAAGGUGGGGAUGACGUCAAAUCAUCAUGCCCUUUAUGACCUGGGCUACACACGUACUACAAUGGCGUUAAACAAAGAGAAGCAAGACCGCGAGGUGGAGCAAAACUCAAAAACAACGUCUCAGUUCAGAUUGCAGGCUGCAACUCGCCUGCAUGAAGUCGGAAUUGCUAGUAAUCGCGGAUCAGCAUGCCGCGGUGAAUACGUUCCC
rnacentral:rRNA from 1 species